CAGUAGCCGCGGUAAUACGUAGGUGGCAAGCGUCGUCCGGAAUUAUUGGGCGUAAAGGGCUCGCAGGCGGUUUCUUAAGUCUGAUGUGAAAGCCCCCGGCUCAACCGGGGAGGGCCAUUGGAAACUGGGAAACUUGAGUGCAGAAGAGGAGAGUGGAAUUCCACGUGUAGCAGUGAAAUGCGUAGAGAUGUGGAGGAACACCAGUGGCGAAGGCGACUCUCUGGUCUGUAACUGACGCUGAGGAGCGAAAGCGUGGGGAGCGAACAGGAUUAGAUACCCCUGUAGUCCCUGUCUCUUAUAC
rnacentral:rRNA from 1 species